AAAAAGGCAAACCCUGGGUUUCCGUGUCCAACUUUGACUGUCCGUCUUAUAUAAAUUUUUUUUUAUAAUUCGUAUUUUCAUUGUUGUUAGAUGAUAAAAUAUUAUUAAUAUUUUAUACGUGACUUGUCUUUUUAAUUUUUUUCAUAAUUUUUUCAAAUAAGACGGACAGUCAAACGGUGGACACAGAAACCAGGGUUUGUCUUUUU
rfam:Oryza sativa Japonica Group DNA, chromosome 1, cultivar: Nipponbare, complete sequence.